UGCAGAUUGCAGAUGUGAGGGAUGCUGUUUGCCUGGUAUGGGACAGAGGGCCAGGAAGAGGAAGAAUUCCACACAGCUCCUCUUCAUCUCCUGAUUCCAUCUGGGAUUCUACAAUAAAAUAAUGUGGCAUUACUUUAUUGGCAUCAUGGACUGCUUCCGUCCUUCUCUCCUCCAGGACCCGGAAAAACUGUUACGCUGUCGCCAUAUGUAGGAGAGUGUCAAUUCGUGUAUCCUACUGCGGUGGAGUUUUGAAAUCCACCACACACACUUUGAAACAGCUGUUGUUUUUCUCAGAUGAGAAAAGAAUGCACACAUUUAAAAACAAUACGCUACUUAUGCUUUUAUCUAUAAAAUGUAUAGCACAACUAUCUACAUUUCUUUUUACACAUGUAUUUUGGGUUUCCCCCUCUGUGAUUGAAUUUUCCUGACAAUACACUAGAGAUUUUUUGUAUUAUUAUUUUUUGUCUUAUUAUUAAUUCUUAUUUACAAUGACAGCCUACCCUGGCGAAACCCAGACUAUGCUGGGCCAAUUGUGCACAAUCACAGCUGGUUGUGAUACAGCCUGGAAUUGAACCAGGGUCUGUAGUGAUGCCUCUAGCACUGAGAUGCAGUGCCUUAGACCACUGCGCCACUCAGGAGCCCUCAGGAGAGAUGAAGGAGAGUUUCAUUUCAUACAAGCACAUUAGUAUCCACGUUUUCUCUGCACAUCUGAUUACCUUUGACCUUUUUCAAGCGGAGGCGAGGAGAGGACAGAAUUCCAAUUUAGAUUCUCCCUUUGUAACAGUGAUUUGACGGUGCAGAGUUUUAGAAUACAUGUUGCCCUCUAGUGGUGAUAGGAUAGUACCUCAUUGGGGAAUUAAAUCUUGCAACAAUAAACUGCACAUUUAUCACA